UCGGGAAUUUUGGGCAAUGGGCGAAAGCCUGACCCAGCAACGCCGCGUGAAGGAUGAAGUAUUUCGGUAUGUAAACUUCGAAAGAAUAGGAAGAAUAAAUGACGGUACUAUUUAUAAGGUCCGGCUAACUACGUGCCAGCAGCCGCGGUAAUACGUAGGGACCAAGCGUUGUUCGGAUUUACUGGGCGUAAAGGGCGCGUAGGCGGCAAUUCAAGUCAUCUGUGAAAUCUCCGGGCUUAACUCGGAACGGUCAGAUGAUACUGCUUUGCUAGAGUGCAGAAGGGGCAAUCGGAAUUCUUGGUGUAGCGGUGAAAUGCGUAGAUAUUGGGAAGAACACCAGUGGCGAAGGCGGCUAACUGGUCCGGUACUGACGCUGAGGUGCGAAAGCGUGGGGAGCAAACAGGAUUAGAUACCCAUGUAGUCCCUGAGCGGGCUGGCAAGGCGCAU
rnacentral:rRNA from 1 species